rnacentral:rRNA from 1 species
CGAAAUGCUAGCGGGAAGCCGUAAUUUUGAAUCCGGCGAAAGGAAACUCGUAAGCUUGCCAUCCUGGGGAAAGCGGCGCCACGGGUGAGUAACACGUGGGUAACCUGCCCAUAAGACUGGGAUAACUCCGGGAAACCGGGGCUAAUACCGGAUAACAUUUUGAACUGCAUGGAUCGAAAUUGAAAGGCGGCUUCUGCUGUCACUUAUGGAUGGACCCGCGUCGCAUUAGGCUAGUUGGUGAGGUAACGGCUCACCAAGGCAACGAUGCGUAGCCGACCUGAAAGGGUGAUCGGCCACACUGGGACUGAGACACGGCCCAGACUCCUACGGGAGGCAGCAGUAGGGAAUCUUCCGCAAUGGACGAAAGUCUGACGGAACAACGCCGCGUGAGUGAUGAAGGCUUUCGGGUCGUAAAACUCUGUUGUUAGGGAAGAACAAGUGCUAGUUGAAUAAGCUGGCACCUUGACGGUACCUUACCAGAAAGCCACGGCUAACUACGUGCCAGCAGCCGCGGUAAUACGUAGGUGGCAAGCGUUAUCCGGAAUUAUUGGGCGUAAAGCGCGCGCAGGUGGUUUCUUAAGUCUGAUGUGAAAGCCCACGGCUCAACC